UACGUAGGGGGCAAGCGUUGUCCGGAAUCAUUGGGCGUAAAGCGCGCGUAGGCGGCUCUGUAAGUCCGUUGUGAAAGUCAAAGGCUCAACCUUUGAAAGCCGAUGGAUACUGCAGGGCUAGAGUCCGGAAGAGGCGAGUGGAAUUCCUGGUGUAGCGGUGGAAUGCGCAGAUAUCAGGAGGAACACCAAUAGCGAAGGCAGCUCGCUGGGACGGUACUGACGCUAAGGCGCGAAAGCGUGGGGAGCGAACAGG
rnacentral:rRNA from 1 species